GGUGAACGCUGGCGGCGUGCUUAAGACAUGCAAGUCGAACGGCAGUCUUCGGACUGUAGUGGCGCACGGGUGAGUAACGCGUAACUGACCUACCCCAAAGUCGCGGAUAACGAUUCGAAAGAAUAGAUAAUACGAUAUGUGCUGUCAGAUUGUGUUCUGCCAGUAAAGAUUGAUUGCUUUGGGAUGGGGUUGCGUUCCAUCAGCUAGUUGGUGGGGUAACGGCCAACCAAGGCGCCGACGGAUAGCAGGCCUGGGAGGGUGGCCGGCCACAGGGGCACUGAGACACGGGUCCCACUCCUACGGGAGGCAGCAGUUAGGAAUCUUCCACAAUGGGCGAAAGCCUGAUGGAGCGACGCCGCGUGAGGGAUGAAGGUCUUCGGAUCGUAAACCUCUGAAUCAGGGACGAAAGACACUUCGGUGGGAUGACGGUACCUGAGUAAUAGCACCGGCUAACUCCGUGCCAGCAGCCGCCGUAACAC
rnacentral:rRNA from 1 species